GGAGGAUUGGCUGAGUGGUUUAAGGCGGUGGUCUUGAAAACCAUUGAACUUUUACGAGUUCCGCAGGUUCGAAUCCUGCAUCCUCCGCCA
rnacentral:tRNA from 1 species